rnacentral:rRNA from 1 species
CCUACGGGGCGCUGCAGUGAGGAAUAUUGGUCAAUGGGCGCGAGCCUGAACCAGCCAAGUAGCGUGAAGGAUGACUGCCCUACGGGUUGUAAACUUCUUUUAUCAAGGAAUAAAGUGCGGCACGUGUGCCUUUUUGUAUGUACUUUAUGAAUAAGGAUCGGCUAACUCCGUGCCAGAAGCCGCGGUAAUACGGAGGAUCCGAGCGUUAUCCGGUUUUAUUGGGUUUAAAGGGUGCGUAGAUGGGUUGUUAAGUCAGUUGUGAAAGUUUGCGGCUCAACCGUAAAAUUGCAAUUGAUACUGGCAGUCUAGAGUGCGGUUGAGGUAGGCGGAAUGCGUGGUGUAGCGGUGAAAUGCUUAGAUAUCACGAAGAACUCCGAUUGCGAAGGCAGCUUACUAAGCUGCCACUGACAUUGAUGCUCGAAAGUGUGGGUAUCAAACAGGAUUAGAUACCCUAGUAGUC